rnacentral:rRNA from 1 species
GGGGGGGGGGGGGGGGGGGGGGGGGACGGGGAGGGGGGGGGGGAGGGGGGGGCGGGGGGGGGGGGCUCGAGGGGCGAACGGGGGAGUAACACGUGGGUAACCUGGCCUGGACUUUGGGGUAACUUCAGGAAAGUGGGGCUAAUACCGGAUAGGAGCUCCUGCUGCAUGGUGGGGGUGGGAAAGUUUCGGCGGUUGGGGAUGGACUCGCGGCUUAUCAGCGUGUUGGUGGGGUAGUGGCUUACCAAGGCUUUGACGGGUAGCCGGCCUGCGAGGGUGACCGGCCACAUUGGGACUGAGAUACGGCCCAGACUCCUACGGGAGGCAGCAGUGGGGAAUAUUGCACAAUGGGCGGAAGCCUGAUGCAGCAACGCCGCGUGCGGGAUGACGGCCUUCGGGUUGUAAACCGCUUUCGCCUGUGACGAAGCGUGAGUGACGGUAAUGGGUAAAGAAGCACCGGCUAACUACGUG